UUUACCUUGAGGAUUAUGUAUGAGCAGUUUCAGAACAUACUGAAAAUGGGUCCUAUUGGCCAGGUAUUUUCAAUGCUUCCAGGGUUUAGUGCUGAAUUAAUGCCAAAAGGUCGUGAAAAGGAAAGCCAGGCGAAGAUUAAACGUUAUAUGACUAUGAUGGAUUCAAUGACAAAUGAAGAGUUGGAUAGUUCUAAUCCAAAGCUGAUGAAUGAGUCCCGUAUUAUGAGGAUAGCACAGGGUUCUGGCCGCCAAGUUAGAGAAGUAAUGGAAAUGUUGGAAGAGUACAAGCGUCUAGCCAAAAUCUGGGGCAAAAUGAAGGGACUUAAGAUUCCUAAG
rnacentral:misc_RNA from 1 species